ensembl:lncRNA
CAUGAACGCUGUAUAACAGUAUCAGUUAGUGAGACGGAAGACGUAGCUGCAGAUGGAGCGCGCUCAGAGUAGCCCAAACAGUUAAAAAGUGUUGCGUUAUCUGAAACUUAAACAAUUACAGAAAGGCACUGAACAAGGAACUAAAAGAGCACAGAACUUUUACACACCCACCCAAAUUGGAUACCACUUUGACUGGACGGCGAGGGACAGUAUUUUGAUGACCGUGGUAGUGUACCGUUUGAUUCGUCUUAAUUUGGGAUUUAGAGAGUUGCUAUUACAUGCUACGCAUUAAUACUAUUACGCACCAGUAUGUCGCGCGCCGAUGAAGAAAAAAAACUGUAUGCUUCUUUAUGUUACAUUGUGUCUACACCGGGCGUGAGCGACGCGACAGUAUCAUUGAUAGCGUGGAAGCGGCGCGGAACGACGACAGACGAAUCCCCGACAAAAGUGUCCAUCGUGCCAGAGAGAGCCACAGCAACGCAGGUUUCAAUGGACAGAUGGAAGGCAGCCAUCAUCUGCACUGGUGUGGAAAUGUGUCUUACAAGGUCUCAGGAAGUUCCUGCUGUAAUGGUAAUAUAACUCUGGGAUUAAGCCAGCUGGUGGCUGACUGCUGUGGUUCUGUAGCUUACAAUCCACUUAAUGAGAUUUGCUGUAAUGGCAGUAUUCUGACUCGAAGCAGCACUUACGCGAAAUGCUGUGGCAAAGACAUGUACUUGACAACGACUCAUGUGUGUUGUGGUAAAAACAACAUAUUUCAAUGGAAGGAAAAUCAUUCUUGUUGUGGCGAGAAAACAUAUGACGAGACAAUCCACUGCUGCUGUAGUAACCCUACACCAGUAGUAAAGCAUAAAAAUGAAACUUGCUGUCUAAAAGCAAAAGAUCAUGAUAAAAAAACAGAACACCAGCCAGGCUCUCCUCCAACUCGCCCUCUGCCCAUAUUAUCAGACUUGAUUUGUGGAUCAGAAACCUACAAUCCCCAUAAACAAAUGUGUUGCUCAGGGAAUCUGUAUAAGGCAUCAGCACUUACUAAGUGCUGUGGUGGAGAUGCUUACACUCUGUCAGAUGACAAUGUGCUGUGCUGUAAUGGAAUCCUUCAUCUCAAUGUGCCUGAGCAGUCUGAGUGUGUUGGAGGUGUUAUAUAUACUCCAGCAAACACUACUUGCCAAAUGUCGACCCGUCCUCGUCUUGGAGAGCACUGCUGUGGAGGACAAACCUUCAAUCCUCGCACGCAUAUUUGCUGUAAUGGUCACAGGUAGGCCCACAGAUUACAAAGAUUUAAAAGUGCACUUAGUACUUUUUUGCUCAUGUUUUAAAUAAUUUUAUUAUAUUUUGAUUCAUUUUGCAAUCAUCCAAACCUUGACCCUUGAUCUUAAAGGGGUCAUUGGAUGCCCAUUUUCCACAAGUUGAUAUGAUUUUUUAGGGUCUUAAUGAAAAGUCAACUUGGAACCCACGUUUUCCCAUGGUCAUCAAACCGCGACCCACAAUUAUGUAGGCCUAUAUAUUGUCGUCAUUUGUAAGUCGCUUUGGAUAAAUGCGUCUGCUUAAUGACUAAAUGUGUGUAUCUUUUGAAAAACAAAAACAAAGCAAAUUUAUUUCAUAAAAAUUAAGUCAAGACUGUUAAGAAUAUGACUAAUACUGAAUAAACAACCUAUAAGGUAAGGCUAUUAGCAGUCCCAACUAGUUUUUGUUAAUAAAGUUAAGUUGGUAUGAGCCACCACCGUCAUUCAAACAUAUACAAAAUGAGACAAAGUGAAAAUAAAAUGGUAUUUUGGGGUUAUGGAAAGAACAGUUACUAUGGUGAAUAUACAAUACUAACAUGAACUGUUAAUGAAAUGUGGAAACUGCUACUGAAUAGAAUGAAUAUCAUACCUUCAUGCAAAUCCUUCCCAGCUAACACACGCAGUACCAGUUAUGAGAUUUAUCAGUACUGUACUUUUAUUUCACACGUUGUAUGCUCGUAGUUUCUGCACUUUAGUGAAGUGAUUUACAGCAAGGCGCCACGUUCGCACGUGAUAUAGAAG